rnacentral:rRNA from 1 species
AUUGAACGCUGGCGGCAGGCCUAACACAUGCAAGUCGAGCGAGCGGCGGACGGGUGAGUAAUGUAUGGGGACUGCCCGAUAGAGGGGGAUAACGACUGGAAACGGUGGCUAAUACCGCAUACUGUCGGAUAACCAAUAUGGGAUUAGCUAGUAGGUAAGGUAAUGGCUUACCUAGGCGACGAUCCCUAGCUGGUCUGAGAGGAUGAUCAGCCCCCCUGAGACUGCGACACGUCCCGUACUCCUACGGAGGCAGCGGUGGGUAAUAUUGCACAAUGUGCGCAAGCCUGAUGCAGCCAUGCCACUUGUUUGAAUCAGGCCCUAGGGUUGUAAAGUACUUUCAGUCGGGAGGCGUUACCGACAGAAGAAGCACCGGCUAACUCCGUGCCAGCAGCCGCGGUAAUAC